rnacentral:misc_RNA from 1 species
CCGAGUUUACAACUCCCAAACCCCUGUGAACAUACCUUAUGUUGCCUCGGCGGAUCAGCCCGCGCCCCGUAAAAGGGACGGCCCGCCGCAGGAACCCUAAACUCUGUUUUUAGUGGAACUUCUGAGUAUAAAAAACAAAUAAAUCA